rnacentral:tRNA from 1 species
GGAGAGGUGGCCGAGUGGCCGAAGGCGCUCCCCUGCUAAGGGAGUAGGCGAGUGAAUCGUCUCGAGGGUUCGAAUCCCUUCCUCUCCGCCA